rnacentral:rRNA from 1 species
AUUGAACGCUGGCGGCAGGCCUAACACAUGCAAGUCGAACGGUAACAGGAAGAAGCUUGCUUCUUUGCUGACGAGUGGCGGACGGGUGAGUAAUGUCUGGGAAACUGCCUGAUGGAGGGGGAUAACUACUGGAAACGUUAGCUAAUACCGCAUAAUGUCGCAAGACCAAAGAGGGGGACCUUCGGGCCUCUUGCCAUCGGAUGUGCCCAGAUGGGAUUAGCUAGUAGGUGGGGUAACGGCUCACCUAGGCGACGAUCCCUAGCUGGUCUGAGAGGAUGACCAGCCACACUGGAACUGAGACACGGUCCAGACUCCUACGGGAGGCAGCAGUGGGGAAUAUUGCACAAUGGGCGCAAGCCUGAUGCAGCUAUGCCGCGUGUAUGAAGAAGGCCUUCGGGUUGUAAAGUACUUUCAGCGGGGAGGAAGGGAGUAAAGUUAAUACCUUUGCUCAUUGACGUUACCCGCAGAAGAAGCACCGGCUAACUCCGUG